rnacentral:lncRNA from 1 species
GACAGGAUCACAGGAAUCACAGAACUGCAUGGUUUUAUGUUCUGUCAAAGACAUCUGAAAACAUGGGCAGUAGCAACAACGGACUCAGAAUAAAGAGGAUAUGCCCCAGAAAAUUGGACUAAAUUCCUUCUAUACAAGAUCCUCCAAGACCUUGAGGUUAAGACAACAGCUGAAAGAGAGGAAAGUGAUCCAUUUUCUGACUACAUUUCCACUAGUGUUGUGGUGGGGAGUCCUGGAGAAAUUGCUUGGUGGGGCUGUAAAAGACAGAAGGCAGUACAUCAGCCCUAAGCAGAAGAACAAUAGGUCCAUCAGUCUGUGUAAAUAUGGCACCGUGUAGCUCUAU